rnacentral:rRNA from 1 species
GACGAACGCUGGCGGCGUGCUUAACACAUGCAAGUCGAACGGUAAGGCCCUUCGGGGGUACACGAGUGGCGAACGGGUGAGUAACACGUGGGUGAUCUGCCCUGCACUUCGGGAUAAGCCUGGGAAACUGGGUCUAAUACCGGAUAGGACCACUGCCUGCAUGGGUGGUGGUGGAAAGCUUUUGCGGUGUGGGAUGGGCCCGCGGCCUAUCAGCUUGUUGGUGGGGUGAUGGCCUACCAAGGCGACGACGGGUAGCCGGCCUGAGAGGGUGACCGGCCACACUGGGACUGAGAUACGGGCCAGACUCCUACGGGAGGCAGCAGUGGGGAAUAUUGCACAAUGGGCGCAAGCCUGAUGCAGCGACGCCGCGUGAGGGAUGACGGCCUUCGGGCUGUAAACCUCUUUCAGCACCGACGAAGCGCAAGUGACGGUAGGUGCAGAAGAAGGACCGGCCAACUACGUGCCAGCCGCCGCGGUAA